rnacentral:rRNA from 1 species
UACGUAGGUGGCAAGCGUUGUCCGGAUUUAUUGGGCGUAAAGCGAGCGCAGGCGGUCUUUUAAGUCUGAUGUGAAAGCCCCCGGCUUAACCGGGGAGGGGCAUUGGAAACUGGGAGACUUGAGUGCAGAAGAGGAAAGCGGAAUUCCAUGUGUAGCGGUGAAAUGCGUAGAUAUAUGGAGGAACACCAGUGGCGAAGGCGGCUUACUGGUCUGUAACUGACGCUGAGGCACGAAAGCGUGGGGAGCAAACAGGAUUAGAUACCCUGGUAGUCCACGCCGUAAACGAUGAGUGCUUAGUGUUGGAGGGUUUCCGCCCUUCAGUGCUGCAGCGAACGCAUUAAGCACUCCGCCUGGGGAGUACGACCGCAAGGUUGAA